AAUGAUAAUGAAAAGGUCUAAAAAGUUAUGUCAUUUAGACAUAGUAUAGGGCGAAUGUAGCCAAGUGGAUCAAGGC
rnacentral:tRNA from 1 species